rnacentral:lncRNA from 1 species
UUUUUUUGGCUAAUUUUUAUAAUUUAUAUUAUACUUUAAAUUUUUUUUUCCAUUUUUUCAUAAAAAUUUUCCUCUAAAUCCACAUCAUCACUGUCACGUCGCAUACUAACUGCCACAUAGGCUUUAUUUAAGACAAGUCAACUGCCACGUGGCGAUUUCCGUUAAGUCAACUGUGACUUGACGGUUUUUUAAAUUUUCUGUUAGUAAAAUCGAGUACAAUGAGUUGACUGUAAAAAAAAAAAAUUCAGUUAUUCAUCUGUAAGUUGACAUAAAAAUAUUUAUCCCCCAAGUGGAGAGAUAAUGAAGCAAAUAAAGCAAAAUUAAGUGAUUCCAUGCCUUCAAUGACUAUAAGAAGCUUAUAUGUAUAUCUAUAUCCCUUAAUU